rnacentral:lncRNA from 10 species
UAAUAAGCCUGAUUCUUGUUGCAUUUUGGAUAAAGAGAAGGGCCUUGCUGAGGUCAUUUGCAUUUGCUAUGGCCUCCACUCUUGCUCCUCCGGAUGACCUCCACAUUGCUGGCUUCUUGUUGGAUAUAAAGAAGAUGACAAUUAGCGUGUGGGGAGUCCCCAAGACAUUUUGAUGUUAAACGUGGGUCCUUCUUCUUGACAAGGGAUACACACCUACCUACCGAGAGACCUCCAAACAGAGACAUCAACACAGAAACCUCCGCAGAGAUAACCAGAUCUCCAUAUGCAAACCCAUGUAAAAAGAAACCUAGAGAAACAGAUGCCCAGAUGAAGAGGGGUAUGAGUAUAACCUUUUGUUUCCAGACAGAUUCUUGGCUGACGUUUCUGUCAGUGGUGUGAAAGGACAUUUACCCAGAUUCUAUAGAUAUUUUGGUUAUGCACUCAACAAACCUACAAUGAAACUACCAGAAUACAAAAGCAAUUGUGAACUCCAGAGAGUGCUAGAAAACAUUAUGGAAGAGGGUAUAGUUUAUGUUAAUUAUAGAGGACUAAAGAGAUGUAGAAUAGGAGAGCUGAAAAAGCCUCCACUUCCAGUGGCUCUUAGAGUGUAAUUAGUCCAAGGGACAGCAAGCUGCCUUCUAGCAGAAUCGUUGUGAUCCCAAAGCCCACAUGACUGGGGCCUCUCUCUGGUCCUUUAUACAGUAAUUAAUAUUUAAAAGAUCUCGCUAAAGCCCUGUCAAGUCCUGAAGCAAGAUUUUGAAAAAUAAAAAAACUCAUAAAACACAAAAUAGAACAAAACAAUGAGCUCUGAGUUUGCUUUGUUGAAAGCAAUGGGUUGAAUUGUGUCUCCCCAUAAUAUGUAUUUUGAAGUCCUAACCUCUAGUACCUUAGGGUGUGACCUUAUUUGGAGAUGCAGACAUUACAGAAGUAAUCAAGUUAAAGUGAGGUCAUUGGGAUGGGCCCUAAUCUGAUACAACUGGUAAUUUGGACACAGACACAUUCAGGCAGAACACCAUGUGAACAUAAAGAUGGUCAGGUACAAGCCAAAGGGGAGAGGCCUGGAACAGAUCCUUCCUUCACAGGCCUCAGAAGGAACCAACCCUGCCAACAUCUUGAUCUUGGACUUCUGGCCUCCAGACCUGUGAGACAACAAAUUUGUGAUCUUUUGUUAUGACAAUCCUAGCAAAAUACACUGUGACACCCAGUUUCUAAUCUGAUGACAAACGGAGGCAUCUACAAUCUCUGAGGGUGUGUGCAUUUGGGCACUCAUUUCACCACUGACUUCAUUUAUGUCCUAUUCUUUGUUUUCCAUUUGUUUCAUUUUUCUAAUUUUAUCUUCCAUUUUUAAAAAAGUUUACUGUACUAGACGUAACUUUUUAAGCUGCCUGAAAUUCUUCUUAGGUUUACAAAUGAUAUAAACUGGUAAAUAAAGAUGAUCAGACCUUAAGCACAUAUAGCACACAUGGCUGGGAUGAAACAACUAAGUAGCAAAAUAUUAAUUUAUAAAACAAAUUAAACAGCAAAAAAAGAAAAUAGUAAAAUCCAACUCUCCUGGACCAUUGGAGGAGGAACUGCAAGGGAUGAUGAAGAUUUCAUAGAGCAAAUGAUUUCUACACUCUGGGAAAGAAUUCUUCAGGCAGUACACCACUUUAAAAUGGUGCUUGACUCACCAAAACAUCAGAGCCGUCUUCAACUUUUCACAACGCAGAGCAGAGAAAGAGGAAGAUCACUUGUAGAUGGAGUGUGGCAGGAAUUUUGUGAAGUGUAUAAAGAAGUUAGCAAGUGUAUAAAGAAGAUAGCCAUUUACUAAGCAUCUGCUAUGUAGCAGGCACUCUGCUAGACAUUUGUUAUGGAAUGAAUCAUUUAAUCCUUGUAAUAAACUUGCAAGGAUAUAUUUUAGCCCACCCCCUACCUAAAACCAAUAAAUAUGUGGCUCAGAAAAGUAAAUUAACUGGUCUAAGAGCAAGUAAUUAGUAAAAAGUUGAGCUGGGAUUUGAUAUAAAGAAAAAUCUGAUCUAAACUUGAUAAUAUUUCUGCUUCCCCAAAUUGCCUCCUUAAAGUUUACACAUUGUUUGGUCUCUUCAAUACACAUCAAAAUUAUCAAUACCUAUAGAAAUGUCAAUGAAAAGUCUUCCUUUAAAUUAGAAUAUUUAGAAACUUUAGGCCCAGAGACUAAAAAGUAUGUGAAAUUAGUAUAAAAGUAUGUAAAAUGUUUGUAAAGAAAUGAUGAUAACUUCGUAGACCAAUGUGGCAUGUAAAACAUGUGGGCCACAGAGGGAGAUUAAGAAAAAAAUAUAUGCAAUCAUAAUAAUAAAAGUGGAGUUACUCCAGACUAUGCUUUUUGCCAAUUCUUUGGUGAGAAGGGAUUGGUAGUUAAUUAUAGAACCACUUUCUAUAUUAAUUCUAGAUAUUGUAUUCUAAUCCUUAGAAAGUAGGCUGUGGAAGAACUAAUAAUUGCCCUCAAGGACCCAUUCUCUUCUUCUCAUAAGAGAAUCUAUGGUUGCCCAACUAAAGCUUCUAUUUCGCAGCACUCAUUGCAGAUAGUUAUAGCUAUGGACUCAGUUCUGGCCAGUGGACUCUGAAUAAAGGUACUAUGUACACUGUUGGCUGUGCUCUUAAAGCUAAGGGAUGUGCCAUCUCAUCCCCUGUGCUCUCUUUGUUGGCUGGGAAGCUGGCAGGAUGAUAGGAGUUAAGCCAGCCAUUAUGGACUUUCAGAUGGAAACCAGCUGUUGAGGAUGAGAGAGCGACAAAAAGAAGACCGUCAAGAUUGUGGGGCUAAUUUACCAGCCUGAAUUGCCAACCUGUGUUUUUGUAUUACAGGCAAAUAAAGUAUGUGUUUUUAAAGUCGC